CAGUCGCCGCGGGAAAACGUAGGUGGCAAGCGUUAUCCGGAAUUAUUGGGCGUAAAGCGCGCGUAGGCGGUUUUUUAAGUCUGAUGUGAAAGCCCACGGCUCAACCGUGGAGGGUCAUUGGAAACUGGAAAACUUGAGUGCAGAAGAGGAAAGUGGAAUUCCAUGUGUAGCGGUGAAAUGCGCAGAGAUAUGGAGGAACACCAGUGGCGAAGGCGACUUUCUGGUCUGUAACUGACGCUGAUGUGCGAAAGCGUGGGGAUCAAACAGGAUUAGAGACCCCUGUAGUCCCUGUCUCUUAUAC
rnacentral:rRNA from 1 species